ACAACAGUCCUAGGGACUGAAGUCCUUUACUUAUCCAUAGAAGAGGUACAGCACGGGCACCAAACAAGGAAAGUUCUCCCACAAAGCUCACCAAUGUGCCUCAGCCACGCCCUGAAAAGGCCACUUCUAGGGGCAGGGAGAGGGAGGAUAGUCAACUCUCCAAACCCAGUCAAUCCCUGGCCUCU
rnacentral:sRNA from 1 species